rnacentral:rRNA from 1 species
UACGGAGGAUCCGAGCGUUAUCCGGAUUUAUUGGGUUUAAAGGGUGCGCAGGCGGAGGUGCAAGUCAGCGGUCAAAUUGCGGGGCUCAACCCCAUCCAGCCGUUGAAACUGGGGAUCUAGAGUGUGCGAGAGGUAUGCGGAAUGCGUGGUGUAGCGGUGAAAUGCAUAGAUAUCACGCAGAACCCCGAUUGCGAAGGCGGCAUGCCGGCUCCACACUGACGCUGAGGCACGAAAGCGUGGGUAUCGAACAGG